UACGUAGGGUGCGAGCGUUGUCCGGAAUUAUUGGGCGUAAAGAGCUCGUAGGCGGUGUGUCACGUCGGCCGUGAAAACCUGCAGCUUAACUGUGGGCGUGCGGUCGAUACGGGCAUCACUGGAGUUCGGCAGGGGAGACUGGAAUUCCUGGUGUAGCGGUGAAAUGCGCAGAUAUCAGGAGGAACACCGGUGGCGAAGGCGGCCGACUGGGCCGAUCCUGACGCUGAGGCGCGAAAGCGUGGGGAGCAAACAGG
rnacentral:rRNA from 1 species